CUCCUCUCCAACUCGUUCACGUCACCGAGAGAAAUGACGUCGUUUAUACUUCCACCACCACAAGGAGAAAAAGAUCGGUUUUGGAAUCCGUUACCGCAAACAGAAUCCAAAUCCCUCUCCUCAGCGACACUACUAGUACUAGUCAAGUUUCCAUCAAAGGCAAGCCCAAUGUCACCCCCGAUGGAGAAUAUUUAAUAUACGUAUCCACCCGGAUUGAUUCACCGAGCUGACUCGGUUGGUUUCACAGUAGCCCUCAGCUUUUACUCGAGAGUGUUAAGAGCCUCGUCC
rnacentral:misc_RNA from 1 species